rnacentral:rRNA from 1 species
UACGGAGGGUGCGAGCGUUGUCCGGAAUCAUUGGGCGUAAAGGGCGCGUAGGUGGCCCGGUCAGUUCGUGGUGAAAGCGCGGGGCUCAACCCUGCGUCGGCCAUGAAUACUGCCGCGGCUGGAGCACUGUAGAGGCAGGCGGAAUUCCGGGUGUAGCGGUGGAAUGCGUAGAGGUCCGGAAGAACACCGGUGGCGAAGGCGGCCUGCUGGGCAGUUGCUGACACUGAGGCGCGACAGCGUGGGGAGCAAACAGG